rnacentral:snoRNA from 10 species
UCAUUUCUAUAGUCUUUGACUUGAGAAAUAUCGUACGAAAGUGAUCGGUUACUCAAACCACGAUGAAGAGAACUGAUGUUCUCUUCUGAGCGCGAAGCGGGCAGUGAGUGAUGAUGCAUUUCAUCUGCUCCUUGCCAUUGAUGACCGUUCCAUGCUCUCUAGUGGAGCCUGGAGGUAGGGAUCAUGAUCAGAGUGG